UUAAAAAAAUUUUAUCUAUUUAUACUGUUAAAAAUUGAUGUGGUUGACAGAAUAAUCGGAUAAUGACACGUGGCAUGCCAUAUGUAUUUCAUGCUGACAUAUAGAGACCAAUUUUUAAUAGCAAAAAUGAAUGAAACUUUUA
rfam:Gossypium raimondii Chr01_contig_126, whole genome shotgun sequence.